AUACGGAGGAUGCAAGCGUUAUCCGGAUUUAUUGGGUUUAAAGGGUGCGUAGGCGGGACUGUAAGUCAGGGGGGAAAUACUGCAGCUUAACUGUAGCAUUGCCUUUGAAACUGCCGUUCUUGAGUACAGUUGAGGUAGGCGGAAUGGGGGGUGUAGCGGGUAAAUGCAUAGAUAUACCACAGAACGCCGAUUGCGAAGGCAGCUUACUAAGCUGUUACUGACGCUGAGGCACGAAAGCGUGGGGAUCAAACAGGAUUAGAUACCCUGGUAGUCCACGCUGUAAACGAUGAUUACUGGUUGUUAGCGAUAUAUAGCUAGUGACUGAGCGAAAGCAUUAAGUAAUCCACCUGGGGAGUACGUCGGCAACGAUGAAACUCAAAUGAAUUGGCGGGG
rnacentral:rRNA from 1 species